GUGGGGAAUCUUGCGCAAUGGGCGAAAGCCUGACGCAGCCAUGCCGCGUGGAUGAUGAAGGUCUUAGGAUUGUAAAAUUCUUUCACCGGGGACGAUAAUGACGGUACCCGGAGAAGAAGCCCCGGCUAACUUCGUGCCAGCAGCCGCGGUAAUACGAAGGGGGCUAGCGUUGCUCGGAAUUACUGGGCGUAAAGGGCGCGUAGGCGGACAGUUUAGUCAGAGGUGAAAGCCCAGGGCUCAACCUUGGAAUUGCCUUUGAUACUGGCUGUCUUGAGUACGGGAGAGGUGAGUGGAACUCCGAGUGUAGAGGUGAAAUUCGUAGAUAUUCGGAAGAACACCAGUGGCGAAGGCGACUCACUGGCCCGUUACUGACGCUGAGGCGCGAAAGCGUGGGGAGCAAACAGGAUUAGAUACCCCAGUAGUCC
rnacentral:rRNA from 1 species